UGGGUCUGUGUCCAACUGAACAGUCUUCCCCGUUCAUCCACCCGUGUAUCAUCGGUUUAUCCAGCCUACAAAAACAUUUUGGGGACCCACUGUGAGGAGACAUCCUCCCGUGCAUGGGGCUUCCCACCGUACAUCUGGCACCCACCUCACAGGUGAACCUUCCUGCUCCUAAAUGAUGACUGAUUUCCAUGGAAUUUUAAAACCACGGAUUCUAUGGAGAUGAUGCUAAUACUGUGGCUGUCAGGCUCGAAGAAAGUGGUGCAGUGUUUCUCAAACUUGACUCAUC